GGAGAGGUGCGCCGAAUGGUAAGGCACUGGUUUGGAAAAUCAGCGUCCCUCGGGACUUGCAGGUUCGAAUCCUGUCCUCUCCGCCA
rnacentral:tRNA from 1 species